GUGGGGAAUAUUGGACAAUGGGCGCAAGCCUGAUCCAGCAAUGCCGCGUGUGUGAAGAAGGCCUUCGGGUUGUAAACCUCUUUCAGCUCCGACGAAGCGCAAGUGACGGUAGGAGCAGAAGAAGCGCCGGCCAACUACGUGCCAGCAGCCGCGGUAAUACGUAGGGCGCAAGCGUUGUCCGGAAUUAUUGGGCGUAAAGAGCUCGUAGGCGGUCUGUCGCGUCGGCUGUGAAAGCCCGGGGCUCAACCCCGGGUCUGCAGUCGAUACGGGCAGGCUAGAGUGCGGUAGGGGAGACUGGAAUUCCUGGUGUAGCGGUGAAAUGCGCAGAUAUCAGGAGGAACACCGGUGGCGAAGGCGGGUCUCUGGGCCGUAACUGACGCUGAGGAGCGAAAGCGUGGGGAGCGAAC
rnacentral:rRNA from 1 species